rnacentral:misc_RNA from 1 species
GCCAUUCAUAGCUUAGAACUCUUUCAUUUGCAAGCCUCUGGAAUUGCUAUCAUCGCUGGACUAAUUCACAACUUUUGGAAAAUCACAAGGGAAAAAAGUCAUUAACAAUGUUUGGAGUAGUGUUCCCAAAUCGAAGCUUCCCUAUGGAUAUCUCCACCUUUGCUCAAAUAGACCCCACCCAUUGGGUCCUUGACAUGAACACCUUUGUUGGGGAAGCGUAUGAUUCGAUUCGUGAAGUCUGCAUAUUCCUCCUCAACAACUUCACGCUGCCACCAGACAAGGCCCUCGCUGUGUAUAUCCAAUCCCCUGGCUCACCUUUCCUCUUUUGUGGUGCAGUCACACUGACUCGACCCUCUGCUGUGCUGUCGCUUCCUUGGCCAGAGCCCGGUGGGCAACUGCAGCUCACUGCUGAUGCAACUCCAAUCUCUGCCAAGAUAGGUAUUUCAGUUGAGGAUCUUGCAACACUUCCCUCCCUUGAUGUGGCUGCA